UGCAGUCGACGCACUGACGUCGACCGAAGCUGCUUGCAGUGGACGUUGAUUGACGUGAGUGGCGGACGGGUGAGUAACACGUGGGUAACCUACCCUUAAGUGGGGGAUAACAUUUGGAAACAGAUGCUAAUACCGCAUAACCAUUCAGACCCAUGGUCUGAAUGAAAAAGGCUUUGGGUGGCACUUUUGAACGGACCCGCGGCGUAUUAUUUAGUUGGUAAGGUAACGGCUUACCAAGACAAUGAU
rnacentral:rRNA from 1 species